rnacentral:lncRNA from 1 species
CCGCCGCCGCCUCCGUCAUCCACUCGCCGCAGCAGGCGGCCCUCGCCAAGCCCAAGCUCUGGUCGCUGGCCGAGAUCGCCACCUCGGCGGACAGGGCGAGGGAGGCGGGCGGCGAAACGGCGGCCCCCGGCCCCGCCGUGCUGGGAGGCGGCGGCCCCCCGCGCCCCUCUCCGCCGCGGCCCCGCUCGCCGUCCGCGCAGUGCCCCUUCCCCAACGGGGCGGUCCUGCCGCGGCCGCUCUACUACACGGCGCCCUUCUACCCCGGCUACACGAACUACGGCUCCUUCGGGGCCCUGCACGGGCACCCCGCCGGCGGGCCCGCCGCGCCCGGCGCCGCCUUCAAUGGAUUAAACCAGACUGUGCUGAGCCGGGCCGAGGGGCUGGGGAAGGAGCCCAAGGCGGCCAGGAGCCAGCCCCAGGCAGAGCUCGGCAAGGACUCGCCGUACGAACUGAAGAAAGAAAUACGGAAUGGCCGCGGCGGUUAUUUUUCCACUACCAAAAGAAACGCAAACCGAAACAAACGGCGCCGAGCGGUUUCCCCCCCGCACCCGCAGCGCUCCCCGCGGCCCCCACGGACGUUUGUACGGACCCCUCUGUAUAUUUAAUGUAGCUUUUGUAUUUAAAUUGAUAAUACGGUAUCUUUGAAGUAAAUUAUGAAAUCGAGACACCUGUACAGGCAUUAAUGUUGUUUUCGUAAUAUAAAUAUAUACAUUUCUGUGUCUUUUUCCGAAUUGUUUCAUAGUUUUAAAAAUAUAUAUAUACAAGUUUAAUUUAAUUUUUUAUGGCUAGUGUUUUUUUUUUUCCCCUUGGGCGUGCGCUAAAUUGUAACGAAAAAAAAAAGGGCAAGGAACGGGUCCCACUUCUGGGAUACAGCGCUCGUCGGGAAAGGGGCGGGCGGCAGAACGCAGCCCCGCUCUCUUCCCGCAGCGGGCGCGGGGCCGAUCCCGCACGUAACCUCAUUACCCGCAAUCAGUGCCGCGUUUCACGCGAAGCGAUCCGCUGCUCGACUUCGCUAAUGAGUUCGAUUUUCUGCCAGCUUUCCCCUCGCUGGCGGUGCCCGGGGCCGCGGCCGCGGGGGUAGCGCUCGGGGCCCCCUCCCGGGCCCGCGGUGCUUGCGGGCGGCGGCAGAAAAAGAGCGUUAAUCUGCCCCAUCUCGGGGCCCGAGGAUCGGAGCGGAGGAGACAUUCACUGCAAGCACGUAGGGGAAUAAGGGUCUCGCUUUAUUGAAUCAUCAAAUCCCAGGAACGAAGCUCUUAAUUAAUUAUGGGUGCUAAAAAUUCAGGCCAGCUGCUACUUUUUACUCGGCUCUGACAGAGAAAGACAAAGUCUGCGGCGAGCUCCUCCGAGGCGCUCCGCAUAAAUCAGCGCUCCCGGCCCGCGGGGACAGAUGGCGCCUCGGCCCCGCGCCGCCCGCAUUCCUCCACCGCACCGCGGCGGUGCGGG